rnacentral:rRNA from 1 species
AGGAACGCUAGCUACAGGCUUAACACAUGCAAGUCGAGUUUCAGCAUUUCAGUUUGCUUGCAAACUGGAGAUGGCGACCGGCGCACGGGUGAGUAACACGUAUCCAACCUGCCGAUAACUCGGGGAUAGCCUUUCGAAAGAAAGAUUAAUACCCGAUGGUAUAAUCAGACCGCAUGGUCUUGUUAUUAAAGAAUUUCGGUUAUCGAUGGGGAUGCGUUCCAUUAGGCAGUUGGUGAGGUAACGGCUCACCAAACCUUCGAUGGAUAGGGGUUCUGAGAGGAAGGUCCCCCACAUUGGAACUGAGACACGGUCCAAACUCCUACGGGAGGCAGCAGUGAGGAAUAUUGGUCAAUGGGCGCAGGCCUGAACCAGCCAAGUAGCGUGAAGGAUGACUGCCCUAUGGGUUGUAAACUUCUUUUAUAUGGGAAUAAAGUUUUCCACGUGUGGAAUUUUGUAUGUACCAUAUGAAUAAGGAUCGGCUAACUCCGUGCCAGCAGCCGCGGUAAUACCGAGGAUCCGAGCGUUAUCCGGAUUUAUUGGGUUUAAAGGGAGCGUAGGCGGACGCUUAAGUCAGUUGUGAAAGUUUGCGGCUCAACCGUAAAAUUGCAGUUGAUACUGGGUGUCUUGAGUACAGUAGAGGCAGGCGGAAUUCGUGGUGUAGCGGUGAAAUGCUUAGAUAUCACGAAGAACUCCGAUUGCGAAGGCAGCCUGCUGGACUGUAACUGACGCUGAUGCUCGAAAGUGUGGGUAUCAAACAGGAUUAGAUACCCUGGUAGUCCACACAGUAAACGAUGAAUACUCGCUGUUUGCGAUAUACAGUAAGCGGCCAAGCGAAAGCGUUAAGUAUUCCACCUGGGGAGUACGCCGGCAACGGUGAAACUCAAAGGAAUUGACGGGGGCCCGCACAAGCGGAGGAACAUGUGGUUUAAUUCGAUGAUACGCGAGGAACCUUACCCGGGCUUGAAUUGCAACUGAAUGAUGUGGAGACAUGUCAGCCGCAAGGCAGUUGUGAAGGUGCUGCAUGGUUGUCGUCAGCUCGUGCCGUGAGGUGUCGGCUUAAGUGCCAUAACGAGCGCAACCCUUAUCGAUAGUUACCAUCAGGUUAUGCUGGGGACUCUGUCGAGACUGCCGUCGUAAGAUGUGAGGAAGGUGGGGAUGACGUCAAAUCAGCACGGCCCUUACGUCCGGGGCUACACACGUGUUACAAUGGGGGGUACAGAAGGCAGCUACACGGCGACGUGAUGCUAAUCCCUAAAGCCUCUCUCAGUUCGGAUUGGAGUCUGCAACCCGACUCCAUGAAGCUGGAUUCGCUAGUAAUCGCGCAUCAGCCACGGCGCGGUGAAUACGUUCCCGGGCCUUGUACACACCGCCCGUCAAGCCAUGAAAGCCGGGGGUACCUAAAGUGCGUAACCGCAAGGAGCGCCCUAGGGU